rnacentral:rRNA from 1 species
UACAGAGGUCCCGAGCGUUGUUCGGAUUCAUUGGGCGUAAAGGGUGCGUAGGUGGCGUGGUAAGUCUGGUGUGAAAUCCCGGGGCUCAACCCCGGAACUGCACUGGAUACUGCCAUGCUUGAGUACUGGAGAGGAGAUUGGAAUUUACGGUGUAGCAGUGAAAUGCGUAGAUAUCGUAAGGAAGACCAGUGGCGAAGGCGAAUCUCUGGACAGUUACUGACACUGAGGCACGAAGGCCAGGGGGAGCAAAACGGGG